CCCUCAGACCUUGCUUCCCUCCUCUUUUCUCACUGUAGGGAAACAGGAAGUCAUGUUGAUUAGUAAGACUGACUGAGAUCACACCCAAGGCAAUGGCAAAUCUUGACUUCUUCUGGGCUUGGGAAGAGGUGGAAGGAUCAAGGACAAGUU
rnacentral:lncRNA from 1 species